GCCACGGUGGUCUAAUGGUCAGAACACUAGCCUUGUAAGCUUUGGGGUCCCGGGUUCAAUUCCCGGUGGUGCUC
rnacentral:tRNA from 1 species